CAGAGAUGUGUGCGGCCACCACGCUCUGAUUCCAGCACAUUCCCACCACUUAGAAUGGAGCUCACACCCACUCAGUCCCUCCUCAGGGUUCCGGUAACUCAUCGUGUACUUCCAACCCUGGGUUUGUGUGCUCUGAACAUCUCAGACACGUGGGAUCACAUGAUCCGCGGCUUCUGCGGCUUCCUCACGUAGCAUUUCCCAUGUUCAUGGGUGCUGUACCUUCAUCAUGCAGCAUGUUCCCAUGUUCAUCGGCGCUGUGCCUUCCUCACGUAGCAUUUCCCGUGUUCAUCGGCGCUGUGCCUUCCUCACGUAGCAUUUCCCGUGUUCAUGGGCGCUGUGCCUUCAUCAUGCAGCAUUUCCCGUGUUCAUGGGCGCUGUGCCUUCCUCACGUAGCAUUUCCCGUGUUCAUGGGCGCUGUGGCGCGUGUCAGUACCUCGCUCCCGGCUGUGAGUGACGCUCAGUAUUUCAUUCAGCCCUCCAGGCAGGCCUGCAGAAGCCGUGUCUCGGGAUGGCCAAGAGCCCAGCCAGGCCCCACGGCUGCACCGAGGACAGGAUUCAUGCCCCAUGCCUAGCUUCUCAUGACCACAGAGUGCCUUUCCCGGGACUGGAUAGAGGCAAAGUGAGAGAAGAGCCUGGAGCAAGUGUUUUGGACCACAGUGAACAAACAUGGAGCCCGCGGGAGGACACACAGGGCGAGCCCGAUGCUGCUCACUGCACCUGGAGCGUUCGGCUGGUGUUCUGAGCAGCCGUCAACCUUGAGUUUUGCUGUCAAAAGCUCUCCUCUCUUGCCCCAAAAUAUGCCCAGACCAUGCCCCAAGAGGAAAGCCCUUGUGCCAGGUGGGCACCCAGCUGCCUCUUGGCAAAGACUUGUUGGAAAAAUGAGUGAGUGACGAGGCUGCUGGUCACUGUGUGGCCUGCGGCGUCACUGGAGCCUCUGGCUGCUGCAGGAACCAGCAGAGGAGCCUGCUCUGCAACCCUGGCUGUACCACGUCAGCGUCCCACCGGGAGCCAGAGAGCUUGUUCCCAGGCAACCCUGAAACGGAGAAGCGUCCCUGGAGGCUUCGCCUACGCGGACCCGCGGCUUCCUGGUAGGAGCCGGCCUCACCGACCUGGCUCUGUGAGGAGAGCGGGGAGGGGCCCUGGGGAAACAACCUGGCGUUGGCGGGGCCGGCCUGUGAGUCACGGGGAAGCCAGCCGCCCGGACGCCCCCUGAGGACCCGGUGAGUCCGCACGCAGCACAGCAGGGCCUGGGCCCACACCGCCGCCUAUUCCUGCAGGCCCCUCACGUCCACUGACUGCACCUCCAGGGACUCUGCCUGGCA
rnacentral:lncRNA from 1 species